ACUAUACGCAGUGCUGCCUGCCGGCGGCAGUGUCACCAGCCUGGUUUGGUGGUAGCAAGCGAACGGCAGACUUUAACUCGAGGAGACAGUCCUCUCAGCAGCCCACAGGCCUUUCCUAUGCGGCGAUCCGUGUCACGCCUGUGAUUUCUGUUAAGCAUCCAUUAAGGAAGGACAGAAAGACCAAACAGAACAGCGACUGUCUGUGUUCAGUGCCUGUAAGCUCACCUCCAAUGGACAAUGAACAUCCAGAAUGACGUUUGGCCGAAUAUCCGGGCAGCAAGGCCCAGCCACGUCCGCACGUAAGAUGAAGCACCACAAGGAGCUUCCCAGUCCCUUGGACUACAAGGAGAUCAAACCAGUCAAUCCUACGGGAAAUCAACCCAGACUAUUCAUUGGAAGCCUAAUACUGAAG
ensembl:lncRNA